ACAGAGGGCCCCGAAAAUCUUUAAAAGAGUAGGGA
rnacentral:ncRNA from 1 species